UAAAAAUUUACGGACAGCAAGAAAUGCAUUAGCUUGACGCUUGAUGAAAAGAGCAGGCGUGACAUUUCUAGCUUACCGCUUCGUCGGAAAAGGAGAAGAGAAAAGUCCAAAGAAGGAAACGAAAUCGCCAACAGCUCGUGUGUAAAUCUAUUGCUGAAGUGACCGGGAGUAGAAAAAGAUAGCAACAGUGAGCUAACUCCAUUGUUGGUGUGACUGGAAGUAGAAAGAGAUAGCAAAACUUUAAACCAAUAUGAAAACGUGUGUACCGCUGAAAGGAGGUUUGCAUGACAAUGCGAAAAUUCAAGGAACUCGAUAUUAGCGAAAAUGGAGUGAAAUCAACUUCCCAAGUGUUGUAGUGAUGUCAAUAAAAUACAUGCGCGUGGGAAUAGAAAGUGAUGUUUGGGCGAAUGUCUUUAUUAACAGUUAAAAAAGUAUUAUUAUCAGGCUGACACCGACAUCUUAUUUCGUGC
rnacentral:lncRNA from 1 species